GCAUCUUGAGCAGACCAGAUAUCAUAUCAGUCAGAGUUCUGGAUUAUACACACCAGAAACAGUUCUAGCUAAGUUCCUCAUGUGGGGGAAAUAUAACUCACAGAAUCAUCUAUAAGAUUGGGAUCUAAUCAUUAAACAAGGGAGAUGAGGUCUAGCCAAGAGCCUCCCUUAACACCAGACUGCUACAUGCCAUCACUAACAUUGCCAACCCUGAACACUUAUCCCUGUGCCAGCAACCCAGCAUUCUGGGUUCUGAUAUAGCCAUCACAAAUAAUCUCUUGACAUCAGUGGAAGAAUCUGAUUGGCUGUCUUUGGGUCAUGUGACCAUGCUAGAGCUGUUAGAACACUGGAAGGAAAACUACUUGUCUCCCUUUGGCUUCUGGAUCUAUCUGGAGAAUGCCACCCCAAACAGCAGGCCCCAUUUGUCUUGGGGAAUAGACUCUGAACUUGCUGGGAAUCUAUUCCAGAGGGUCUUGGAGAAGCCACACAGUACUGUGUAGCCCAUAACUCAGCUGGUUCAAACCUGGGGCACCUUCAGAUUGGGAGAUUUUUCCUCAUCUAAGGUAAGGCUUAAGGGUUCCUAACCCACACUGUCCAUGGUGUAGCUGCCAACCAUUCCAUAUAUGUCUCCAUAGCUAUUUCUGCCUCAACCAUGAAAACCUGAUUUUGGUCCUAAAAUGUAGGCUCAAUUGUUCCAGGUUAUCUCUAAUCACUUAUAAGAACCUCAACUUCAAACUUACAGCAGCAAGUAGUUAUAUCAACAGGGAAAAUCCAGUGGGUUGUGGCAGAUAGCCAACUGUCCACUAAAAAUGUGUUCUUCCCUUCCAUAGUUUAAAGUUCUGCUGGGAACCAGCUGCCCAGCUAGGGACUACAUUUCCCAGUGUUCUUCCAUCAAAAUUAGGUCACGUGAUAGUUUUCUGUGGCAAUAGGAAGUGAGCAGAAAUGAUAGCUGUCACUUACAAAUUGAGAUAGUUAAUAUUAGAUGUGCCUUCCUCACACUGUCCUCCUCUUCCCUUGCAAUUUUUGGACCUGUGGUAAAGUUGCUGGCAUUACAAGAUGGAUGAAGCUGGAUCACUGAAUGACAGCAGGAAACAGAGAAUCCCUAUCCCUGCAGAUCACAUUAAACUUUUAUUAUGUUAAUCCAUUGAGAUUUCAGGGUUGGUGUUACAGUGAUCAAUUACCUUAAACUAACUGUGCAGCCUACUUUUGUCUCCAACAGCUGUCUAUAAGAAACUCCAGUCAGCAGUUUUGAUCAAUGUUUGAUUCUUUAUGAGGCUUUAAGCUCCCCUCUCUACUGCCUUAUGUAAAUAGGUGUUUAAUCUUACCCAAAAAAACAAAACAUUGGAAUCUUCUCUGCCAGGAGGCCAAGAACUUGACAUAUGCUUUCAUUAAAUUCAACCACCAUCCAUUGCUGAAGGAUUUUGUACUUUCAACACAUGUAACCCCUCAUGAAUGAGACCCUGGAAGCUUUCUGAU
rnacentral:lncRNA from 12 species